UUGUUGUUGUUCUAGUGUUGUUAAUGAUGCCUUGGAUCCAAGGUGAAGUGUGAUGUCAAUAUGAACCAUCAAGAUGAGGCAAUCGCAUAUCUGACUCGCUGAGGAUUAUAGUUACACUGGAGCCAAUUCUUGCAACAAAUUAGCACAGCUAUGAGGAAAUCUGCAAAGAAUGAGGAAGAAACAUCCUGGACCGACCUGUUCCAUCUUGUGGGAUGUUGUCCUGCAGGUCUCAGCCAAGGAUGAGCAGCCAGAGCAUGAGAUGCUGGCCAACAAGAUAUCAUAGAAUCACAGAGCUGAAAGGUGCCCUGAGGAUUAUCUAGUCCAAUCCCCUGCAAUGCAGGAAUAUUUAGCUGGCCCGUACAGGGAUCGAGCCUGCGACCUUGGCAUCACAAGCACCACACUCCAACCAACUGAGCUAACUGGCAGGUAUUCAAUGGACUGUAAGAUGGAGCAGGCCAAUUCGCUCAUUGCACUGCUAAAUAAACAAAUGGUUGUGCAGUACCAUGUUGUGCUUAUGUACUUGGAACUGAAUGGAUGCAAGUAGUUUGAUACCCCCCAGGUGAAAUUCUGCUCUGGUACAGAACUGGGCCGCUCUCAAGUGAGAGAUAGGAGAGGAGUAUUAGAUGGCCCGGUGGGUAUGGGGCAUGAGCCCAUUAGUGCUUUAGAGAUGGGAAGAAAAACAUCCUUUGUAUGUGGGUUGUAAUCCUGUUGAGUAUGAAUGGUUUAUGUGUGAAUAGGUAGUAUCUGAGGUAGUGAAUGACUGUACUGGUUGUGUGAGAUGGAUAGUAAGAUUGGAUGAGUAAUUGUAUGAAUAAUGUGUUUGAUUGUAAUUUCAUACUGCCUUGUAAAAGGUUAAAGGUAAAGGGCCCCUGGACAGUUAAGUCCAGUCAAAGGCAACUAUGGGGUUGCGGCGCUCAUCUUGCUUCAGGCCAAGGGAGCCAGCGUUUGUCUGCAGACAGCUUUUCGGGUUGUGUGGCCAGCAUGACUAAACCGUUUCUGUUGCAAUGGAAGCCAGAGCGUGCGGAAACACAGUUUAUCUUCCCGCUGCAGCAGUGCCUAUUUAUCUACUUGCACUGGUGUGCUUUCAAACUGCUAGGUUGGCAGAAGCUGGGACAGAGCAAUGGAAGCUCACCCUAUCAUGCAGAUUUGAACCACCAACCUUCUGAUUAGCAAGUCCAAAAAUCUCAGUGGUUUAGACCACAGUGCCACCCGCGGGCCUUGUAAUGCUCUCUGAACUUACUUGAUAUUGUUUUUAUGUAUAGGGAUAUUGCUGCUGUGUUUGUGGUUUUUCUUAUGUAAAUCAUUUGACAUAGUUUUAAUGUACUUAUA